UAGCUCAGUUGGUUAGAGCGCUGGCCUGUCACGCCAGAGGCCGCGGGUUCGAGUCCCGUCAC
rnacentral:tRNA from 1 species